rnacentral:lncRNA from 1 species
GACCGCGUCCGAAGACCGCCGAGGCCUCCCGCAGCUCCGCGGUGACACCCGGGUCAGGGGCGCGGGGCCGGGCGCCGGGGAUUGUGGGAGGCGCGGGGGGGCGCGCCGGCCGCCUUCGGAGCCCCCCAACUCGCGUCCUGCAAAGGCCGCCGGGCCCUGUCGAGAAGACCCGACCGCAGAUGGCGGGGAGGAUGCUCCCGGCGGCGUGGGAACCGGGUCUGACUCCCGAGCCACCGCCGCUUCCGCAGGGGCGCCGGCCCCGGGAAAGUCAAGUCAUAAAUCCCUGAAUCUAAAACUCCAUUCUCAGAGAAAAGGCCUCCAAGGACGGGCGCCGUGCGCGGCAACUGCCUGCAGUUUUGAAGCCCUUUGACUAUUUCAUAACAAAGACAAGGCCGGGCGGCUUGGACGCUUAGGAAAAUCCUGGGGCUUUGCAAAAACAACAGGUUAAUCUAGUCGUGUGGGAUGAUCACCAAAACAAGACAGGAAAGAAGAACACCGUGUCAAUGCUGAAAAGCCAGCCCCUAACACAGGGCUUCUACUCCAGGGUUUCCUCGCCAGGGAACCCCAAACACACAGGACCUGGAGAAGCCGGGUAGAGCUGGCUCCUGGCCCUGCGCUUGGGUGGUCGGCUGCCUUAAGAAGAACUGCACCCCAGAGACAGGCUCGCAGCUGCCGACCUUAUCCACUCGCCCUUUCUGCUGGAGCCCAGGCCCAGUGCUCCAGCAAGGAGGCUGAGAAAAUGCUGAAGACUGAUGCCCACGGGGGACAGCUUGGGCUAAGGAUAACGUUUGCAAAACAAACCUUUAAAAACCCAUAGCAACCUGUUUCCUAGAGCACACUCUUCAUCUCUCCACCCCCAAACUAGUCCCGACUCGGAUCCUCCUUUUCCUAUCCUCUUUCUCUUGCUCUCCCGUCUCCUAUUCACUUUUCUUCUCCUUUCCUCUUGAUUAUUAUAAACAAAUGCUUUCCAAGUCUUACCGCCAUCAUAUGUGUACAUAUGCAACCCUUACUGUUACCAAUUUGUUGAAGUCAAGACAGGAGGAGGCAAAGUUUAAAAAUCAGAAGUAUUGCAGGAAAUGAAAAUGGAGUGAGUGUUGCCUGGGUAUCAUAAUUUUUUUUUUUUUUUUAACAGUUCCUCUACUUGGCUCUCCUCCAAAGGUACGCGGCCACAGCAGGCAGGGGCUUGGCAGUGUGGGAGGAGACACCACAGAAGACAGGGAAGAACUACCAGGCCUUGGUUCAUCUCCACACUGGCGAGAGAGGACGUGCAGUUACCUGCUACCUGUUCGACUCAGUCUUUUACGUUGGAGUAACUUAACACAUUGCUGCCCUUAACUUUGACUUACUUGCUUUUAAAGAUGAUGAAGCUGGCCAGGCGCCGUGACUCAUACCUAUAAUCCCAGCAUUUUGGGAGGCCCAGGCAGGUGGAUCACGAGGUCAGCAGUUCAAGACCAGCCUGGCCAACAUGGUGAAACCCUGUCUCUACCAAAAAUACAAAAAUUAGCUGGGCGUGGUGGCGCGUGCCUAUAAUCCCAGCUACUCAGGAGGCUGAGGCAGGAGAAUCACUUGAACCCGGGAGGCAGAGGUUGCAGGGAGCCGAGAUCGCACCACUGCACUCCAGCCUGGGCAAUAGAGCAAGUCUCCAUCUAGGGAACAACAACAACAAAAAGAUUAUGAAGCCUUAGGAAGAACAGGGAUAUUCACCUGCUGCUGAGCCCCCCUCCGCUUUGAUCUUGGAAGUAUCGGCUGCCAGAUAGGGAGCUGAGACUUCAAGAAGCUAAAUAAGGUGUCCAACACCACAGAGCAUGGAGCAAAGGACACGGGACUGCAAAUCUUCCUAACUCGUGUGCUCAUCUGGCUAUCUCACCAGGGCCUUAAAUUUAAUAUAUCCCAAACUGAACUCAUCUUUACCCCUUCCCACUUUGCACUCCUCAAAUGUCCUUGUUUAAAAUAGUUACCUUUAUCUUUCCUAACCCAGAAACUCAAAACCUGGCAUCAUCUUUGACUUCUCUCUUUACCUUCACAUUCAACAGUUUCCAAGACUUAAAGGCUUUAUUUGUAGGAUCUCUACCACUGAUCCUCUACAGUUUCACACCUACAUCCCAUUCUCGUUCCCAAAUCCCCAUAACUCCUCUCCUGGCCCAUCCCUUAACACUGAAAUCCUGGCUUGGAAAAUAUGGUCACAUUCACAGCAGCUGUCCCCAAGAAGGAAGCCAAGGCAACAGUAUGCACAAUGAAAUCACUCUGGGAGAAACUCACUGCCAUGUUGUGACAACACUAUGGAGACGCCCAGGUGAGGGACUGAGGCUUCCUGCCAACAGCCACAUGAAUAAGAUUGGGAACAGAUCCUCCAGCCCCAGUCAAGCCUUCAGAUGACUGCAGUCUCAUGAAAGACCCUGUGCCAAAACCACCCAGCUUGAUGAAAUAAUCUGUACAACAAACCCCCAUGACACAAGUUUACUACAACAAACCUGCACAUGUACCCCUGAACUUAAAAGUUAAAACAAAACCACCACCACCACCACCACCACCCAGAAAAAACACCCAGCUAAGCCACUUCUGAAUUCCUAACCUACAGAAACUAUGAAAUAAUAAAUAUUUGUAUUUUCAAAAUUAGCUGGGUGUGGUGCCAUGUGCUUAUAAUCCCAGCUACUUGAGAGGCUGAGGCAUGAGAAUCACUUGAACCUGAGAGGCAGAGGUUGCAGUGAGCCAAGAUUGUGCCACUGCAAUCCAGCCUGGGCAGCAGAGCGAGACUCUCUCAAAAAAAAGAAAAAAGAAAGAAAGAGAGAAGAAAAAUUAAAAUUAAUGUGUAG